rnacentral:rRNA from 1 species
AGUGGACGCUGGCGGUAGGCCUAACACAUGCAAGUCGAACGGCAGCACAGGAGAGCUUGCUCUCUGGGUGGCGAGUGGCGGACGGGUGAGGAAUACAUCGGAAUCUACUCUGUCGUGGGGGAUAACGUAGGGAAACUUACGCUAAUACCGCAUACGACCUACGGGUGAAAGCAGGGGAUCUUCGGACCUUGCGCGAUUGAAUGAGCCGAUGUCGGAUUAGCUAGUUGGCGGGGUAAAGGCCCACCAAGGCGACGAUCCGUAGCUGGUCUGAGAGGAUGAUCAGCCACACUGGAACUGAGACACGGUCCAGACUCCUACGGGAGGCAGCAGUGGGGAAUAUUGGACAAUGGGCGCAAGCCUGAUCCAGCCAUACCGCGUGGGUGAAGAAGGCCUUCGGGUUGUAAAGCCCUUUUGUUGGGAAAGAAAUCCAGCUGGCUAAUACCCGGUUGGGAUGACGGUACCCAAAGAAUAAGCACCGGCUAACUUCGUGCCAGCCGCCGCCGUAA